rnacentral:rRNA from 1 species
UACAGAGGGUGCAAGCGUUGUUCGGAAUUACUGGGCGUAAAGGGCGCGUAGGCGGCCCGCUAAGUCGAACGUGAAAUCCCCGAGCUCAACUCGGGAACUGCGUCCGAUACUGGUGGGCUUGAAUCCGGGAGAGGGAUGCGGAAUUCCAGGUGUAGCGGUGAAAUGCGUAGAUAUCUGGAGGAACACCGGUGGCGAAGGCGGCAUCCUGGACCAACAUUGACGCUGAGGAGCGAAAGCCAGGGGAGCAAACGGG